rnacentral:rRNA from 1 species
AAAUUGAAGAGUUUGAUCAUGGCUCAGAUUGAACGCUGGCGGCAGGCCUAACACAUGCAAGUCGAACGGUAGCACAGAGAGCUUGCUCUCGGGUGACGAGUGGCGGACGGGUGAGUAAUGUCUGGGAAACUGCCCGAUGGAGGGGGAUAACUACUGGAAACGGUAGCUAAUACCGCAUAACGUCGCAAGACCAAAGUGGGGGGACCUUCGGGCCUCACACCAUCGGAUGUGCCCAGAUGGGAUUAGCUAGUAGGUGGGGUAACGGCUCACCUAGGCGACGAUCCCUAGCUGGUCUGAGAGGAUGACCAGCCACACUGGAACUGAGACACGGUCCAGACUCCUACGGGAGGCAGCAGUGGGGAAUAUUGCACAAUGGGCGCAAGCCUGAUGCAGCCAUGCCGCGUGUAUGAAGAAGGCCUUCGGGUUGUAAAGUACUUUCAGCGAGGAGGAAGGCGUUGUGGUUAAUAACCACAGCGAUUGACGUUACUCGCAGAAGAAGCACCGGCUAACUCCGUGCCAGCAGCCGCGGUAAUACGGAGGGUGCAAGCGUUAAUCGGAAUUACUGGGCGUAAAGCGCACGCAGGCGGUUUGUUAAGUCAGAUGUGAAAUCCCCGGGCUCAACCUGGGAACUGCAUUUGAAACUGGCAAGCUUGAGUCUCGUAGAGGGGGGUAGAAUUCCAGGUGUAGCGGUGAAAUGCGUAGAGAUCUGGAGGAAUACCGGUGGCGAAGGCGGCCCCCUGGACAAAGACUGACGCUCAGGUGCGAAAGCGUGGGGAGCAAACAGGAUUAGAUACCCUGGUAGUCCACGCCGUAAACGAUGUCUACUUGGAGGUUGUGCCCUUGAGGCGUGGCUUCCGGAGCUAACGCGUUAAGUAGACCGCCUGGGGAGUACGGCCGCAAGGUUAAAACUCAAAUGAAUUGACGGGGGCCCGCACAAGCGGUGGAGCAUGUGGUUUAAUUCGAUGCAACGCGAAGAACCUUACCUGGUCUUGACAUCCACGGAAGUUUUCAGAGAUGAGAAUGUGCCUUCGGGAACCGUGAGACAGGUGCUGCAUGGCUGUCGUCAGCUCGUGUUGUGAAAUGUUGGGUUAAGUCCCGCAACGAGCGCAACCCUUAUCCUUUGUUGCCAGCGGUU